AUCCGGACGGUAGAAUUCAGAAUCGAUCGAGUGUGUACGAAAUUCGCGUCUAUUUGAUAUUUCUACCGUCGUUCUAACGGACGUUGCGACCCGUUUAACGUUGGUUUCGCCUGCGAAGAAGUUUACUGGCGGCCGUCGGCCUCGGCCGUACGCGUCGUUUUUAGUAAGCUCGCAGCGUUUCGAAUCCAUCUUGUUGAACGGUACGUGUAAACGGUGUCUCUCCUUGCGGGAGUACCGGUCUGCAACGAUUUUUCGGGUUUCUUUCCGACCCGUCUUGAAACACGGACCAAGGAGUCUAACGUACACGCGAGUCGCGGGGCAUCGAAUCGGCAUUAUAUAUCGGCCGUUCGUUAUUUAAACGAAACCCGUAAGGCGUAAUGAAAGUAAAUGGGGAAGACGGUGUACCGCGAUAACGUUCGAUCUCGUAAUCGAGCCCGGUCGCCGGCAUUCCCAGGGCGUUUUAAAGGGCGACCCGUAUCGGUUCGCCGUUACGGGUCGAACUGAGGCGCACCUG
rnacentral:rRNA from 1 species